CCUCCUGCUGCAUUUUGGAUGAGCUCCAGCACAUGAUGAUUACUGAUGGAGUCCUACAACAUGAAGAACUUAAAGCAGGGGCGCUGGCAUCUGUAGACUAGUGAUCAGGACGUCAAGUCAUCGUAUUGAGGUCCUGACCAUAGACCUGCUGAAAUGGUCAACCGGCCAACAGGGAAAACUCCUACUCUCCCAGAUGGCCAGACCUGCUGCUGGGGUAAUUGCGUUGGCGAGUCAUGACUUAUCAUCUUUCUAAUUCAUCAAUUAAGAAAUGUAAUCCAGAAUAAUUGGUAAGGCAUAUGUAUAAGGUGUGUAUUAAAUUUAUGAAAACUGCUGUCCUGAGAAAUACUGUGCAUGAGUGACAGCCAGUGAUAAAUUGAGCACAUUGUAACUGCUUUAAAGAAACAAAUUAACUGCUUUAAAAAAGUAAUUAAAACAUUAAAUGUAGGUCACUUUAGUUUGCUACUUUAACUACAAUGCAAUGGCAAAACUAUCAGGAUUUAAUUGUGACAAAGACAUGAACCUUGGUUAAGACCUUGGUUUUGGACUUUCAAGUGUGAAAAAGCCCUGAAAGAAAACUGAGCAAAAGAAAAUAUUUUCCAAUUACAAAGUAAUACAGCUUAGUAUAAUGCCCAAUAUCAUUGCUGUGCUGAAAGAUGUGAACAAAGUGUUCUACAGUUUAAUUGGUUUCAUAAACUGGUCACUGGAAAUGCAAAGGUUCCCAUCUUUUAAAAAUCAAGGCUAAGACUCUUAACUUAAUUGCUGUGACAGGACAGUUUUCUGUCUGGAAGUAAAUCUCGCUGAGCUCGUAUUAAGUCACCAAAACCCUCAAGUCAGAGGGCUCAGCUGAGAGAAAAUAAAUCAAUGCUCAUGCAUUCAAUGUGUUUUUUAAAUUUGUUUAUGUUAUGAUUACGGUUAAGAUCCCAUUUCCCAUCAGUUGUGACUCUUUAGACAUCUGUUAAAAAUCCAUAGGUGAUUUAUCACAUUUAAAUACAAGGCUGACAAACUGACUAAAUCUCGUGCAGAACACUAGAGUGUAAAAUUUAUAAGAGAGAGUAGUCCUUUGCCCUUUUUCAUGCAUGGACGUGUGUGUGUGUGUGUGUGUGAGAAUGAACUUGAAGUUCCUUUUGCCACAGUGAGAGCUGCAGGUCCGGUUGCUCAGAUCAAAGCAUGUGGCAGAGAUGAUGUUGAUUUACUGCAGCCAAAUUUCUUAUCAGAGGAAAUGACUGUGUACCUGAGCUGCAGUAAUUUUACAGUUUCCUGAGAGUAAUUCAAAGAAAUGAAAUGUUUAAUAAUCACAGACCAUAACCUGUUAUGUUAGACAUUGCCAAAAUCAGAUCAUCUCUUCAUUAAUACCUUCUGUUGUAUUUUUCAUUCUAAGAAACUGUUUUAUUCACAGACUUAUAUUUAGAUUAUGUUUAUUUUCCCAUUGCAAAAUUCUCAUUGGCUUGUGUAAACCAUUUGCACUAUUUUUAUGCCUGGUCUCCAGAGACGGGAAACUUUCCAUGUCUAACUAAAUGUCACAAAAGCCUUAAAGAAUCUCACCUUCAUUUUUUCUGAACAAACUGUGGCCACACUUAAUUUGAAGACUGUACUUUGUACUUGGAUGCACAGACAAGAGCGGUCUGCACAUUGCUGUCAGAGCACUGUCUCUUUGCCUGAUGAUUUAUUAUCUCAGAGACAUAUAUUCUCAGCAGUGGAUGACCUACCUUUGCAAGCAUCACAAGCUUUAUGUCGCUAAUGUGAUUUCCCAAAGCUGUGCUUGCACUAUGUGAGACAUUUGCCCUGCAUUUGCAUAGCAGGUACUUCAUUUCCCAAUUCCCUCUUUUGGUGGUUAUAAGCUGUCAUUAUCUUAUUGAACAAGAAUCAGUACCAAGUCCAAUUUAAUGAUGUGGUAAUAACCUGUCAUAACCUGUAA